UACGGGGGGGGCAAGCGUUGUUCGGAAUUACUGGGCGUAAAGGGCUCGUAGGUGGCCAACUAAGUCGGACGUGAAAUCCCUCGGCUUAACCGGGGAACUGCGUCCGAUACUGGAUGGCUUGAGUUUGGGAUAGGGAUGCGGAAUUCCAGGUGUAGCGGUGAAAUGCGUAGAUAUCUGGAGGAACACCGGUGGCGAAGGCGGCAUCCUGGACCAACACUGACACUGAGGAGCGAAAGCCAGGGGAGCAAACGGG
rnacentral:rRNA from 1 species